rnacentral:rRNA from 1 species
AUUGAACGCUGGCGGUAGGCCUAACACAUGCAAGUCGAGCGAGCGGCGGACGGGUGAGUAAUGUAUGGGGACUGCCCGCUAGAGGGGGAUAACUACUGGAAAAGGUGGCUAAUACCGCAUACUAUCGGAUAACCCAUAUGGGAUUAGCUAGUAGGUAGGGUACAGGCUCACCUAGGCGACGAGCUCUAGCUGGUCUGAGAGGAUGAUCAGCCACACUGGGACUGAGACACGGCCCAGACGCCGACGGAGGCAGCAGUGGGGAAUAUUGCACAAUGGGCGCAAGCCUGAUGCAGCAAUGCCGCGUGGAUGAAGAAGGCCUUAGGGUUGUAAAGUACUUUCAGCGGGGAGGCGUUACCCGCAGAAGAAGCACCGGCUAACUCCGUGCCAGCAGCCGCGGUAAUUC